rnacentral:rRNA from 1 species
ACCCGCUGAACUUAAGCAUAUCAAUAAGCGGAGGAAAAGAAACCAACCGGGAUUACCCUAGUAACGGCGAGUGAAGCGGUAACAGCUCAAAUUUGAAAUCUGGCUCCCUGCGGAGUCCGAGUUGUAAUUUGUAGAAGAUGCUUUGGGUGCUUGGCCCGGCCUAAGUUCCUUGGAACAGGACGUCGUAGAGGGUGAGAAUCCCGUAUGCGGCCAGUGUCGGCGCCCGUGUAAAGCUCUUUCGACGAGUCGAGUUGUUUGGGAAUGCAGCUCAAAAUGGGUGGUAAAUUUCAUCUAAAGCUAAAUAUGGGCCAGAGACCGAUAGCGCACAAGUAGAGUGAUCGAAAGAUGAAAAGCACUUUGGAAAGAGAGUUAAACAGUACGUGAAAUUGUUGAAAGGGAAGCGCUUGCAACCAGACUUGGGCGUCGCUGAUCAUCCAAAGACACUCUUUGGUGCACUCGACGACGCACAGGCCAGCAUCGGUUGGAGUGGUGGGAGAAAGGUUGCCGGAACGUGGCUCUUUUCGGAGAGUGUUAUAGCCGGCGACGCAAUACCGCCUACCCCGACCGAGGACCGCGCUUCGGCUAGGAUGCUGGCGUAAUGGUUGUAAGCGACCCGUCUUGAAACACGGACCAAGG